rnacentral:rRNA from 1 species
GACGAACGCUGGCGGCGUGCCUAAUACAUGCAAGUAGAACGCUGAAGGAGGAGCUUGCUCUUCUGGAUGAGUUGCGAACGGGUGAGUAACGCGUAGGUAACCUGCCUGGUAGCGGGGGAUAACUAUUGGAAACGAUAGCUAAUACCGCAUAAGAGUAGAUGUUGCAUGACAUUUACUUAAAAGGUGCAAUUGCAUCACUACCAGAUGGACCUGCGUUGUAUUAGCUAGUUGGUGGGGUAACGGCUUACCAAGGCGACGAUCCAUAGCCGACCUGAGAGGGUGAUCGGCCACACUGGGACUGAGACACGGCCCAGACUCCUACGGGAGGGAGCAGUAGGGAAUCUUCGGCAAUGGACGGAAGUCUGACCGAGCAACGCCGCGGGAGUGAAGAAGGUUUUCGGAUCGUAAAGCUCGGUUGUAAGAGAAGAAAGAGUGUGAGAGUGGAAAGUUCACACUGUGACGGUAGCUUACCAGAAAGGGACGGCUAACUACGUG